rnacentral:rRNA from 2 species
UUUAACAUAUCAAAAUAAUAUAAUUAAUCACAUCAGAACUCCGAAGUUAAGCGUUUUUGGGCGAGAGUAGUACUAGGAUGGGUGACCCCUGGGAAGUCAUCAUGUUGCAU